UGCGUGAAGUCGGAAUUGCUAGUAAUCGCGGAUCAGCAUGCCGCGGUGAAUACGUUCUCGGGCCUUGUACACACCGCCCGUCACACCAUGGGAGUCGGUAACACCCGAAGUCUGUAGCCUGACGCAAGAGGGCGCAGCCGAAGGUGGGAUUGAUGACUGGGGUGAAGUCGUAACAAGGUACC
rnacentral:rRNA from 1 species